CUGUCCAAUCUACAAUUUCUUUUAGGUAAUAAAAUUGACUUGUUCUGCAAAUAUCACUUCUUUUUUAUUGCUAAGAACGUGAAUAGUUUCGACUCAAUAUUCACUGCUACCUCUUGCAGUCAGUUUUCUGGAAGGAUACUAAUGUAAUUAUGUUUUUUUGUUUGAUUCUUGCUCAAGACAACUAAACACUUCUUGACUGAGGAAAAGAUGUGGAGCUCAACCUUGCCUCUCCUGUGCACAUAGACACUGUACUGGCUACGGAUCCUCUCCAAAUCCACUGCCCUUCCAGAAGGGAAAAGAAUCAUAAUGCUCCCGCAGCACCCCAAUGCACCAGCAUAAAGAAAAUACUGGAUCUGUUGCCCAUCCAGAAAUACUGACUGGGGACAGAGCUGAUGAUCCACACAGACCAAAACAUCUACACAUUUUCUCAUUCUUGUAGACAAUCCCAAUAACAGCUUGAAGCUCUCAGUUCCCACCUUGUGUGUUAAUAGAAGCAAAUAAAAGUGAGAUUCCAAAGCAAAUGUGUAGAAGUAGCUCCUUUUGGGCAGGUCCCUUAACAUCCUGCUGUCUGGAUCCUCCUGCAAGCCUUGAGGAGAUAGAAAGGGGCAACAUGCCAAGGCUGCAGAUAAGAAGUGGAAUCAAUGUUGUUGGACAAAAACGACUUUUCAGUAGAGUAUGCUAUAGAAUAUAAUUUCUAAAAUAUCUAUUUGGUAUUACAAAACUAAGACUGAGUAGGAAUAUGUUGAGAAGUGACUUGGGUCCUCUUUAUAUUGAAAAAGUCAUAACUGUUCAGUCUUCAAUUUAUGAGAGCAGUUUGAUUAUUUGAAAUAUUUGCACAUUCAUUUGAUUUAGUACAUUAGAAGAAAUGGAAACUUCAAUAACAUCAAUGUACUCUUAAAGAGUCACAUUCCACAUGCCUUUGUCUCCUGUUACUGAGAACUACACUGACAAAUCACAGUGAAUGCUGAAACACAUGGAUUUCUGAAGCCUGGUCAUACCCUAAAUUAAUACUGCUGCUUUCAUCCUGCUUAUUUUGUAAAAUGACCCUGUUGUUUCUAUUCAGUUGCUUUAUGUGAGAUUCUUGAUCAUUUCUGUCAAUCAAACUCUGCAUGCAUCAGGUGACCAUUUCAUAUGACCCUGCUCAGAGAACAAGGACCUCUCAAACAGUGCUCCAAGUUGUUUUAAAUAGAUUCCUACAUUCUGCUAUUUAUCAACAACCAGACUUAGCAAAACAUUUGACCUCUGAAAACCUUUGACCAAUUUUUUCAAAGAAGCUUGAAUUUAUUCAUUAUUCAUGUUCAUUCUUCCUUCGGCAUAUGGAUGAUAAUGCAUAGAUAUGCAAAGUCCAAAAAAGUCAAAAAAUGGUGCCUUGAGCAGACAACCCUUCUGUGUGUGUGUUUGCUCACUUUGAAAAAGUAUAAUGAGGUUCUUAAACCUGAACUUCUGUACUUUCAUAUAAGCAAAGAGAAUGUGAAUCACGCUGAAGUGAGAGAAAAAGGCACUGCAGAAUACAUUGCCAGAACCAUGUGCUACACAGAAGUCCUAAACAGAAGUCAAGGCUGCAACAGACGAACUGUAACUCUUGGUAUGCAAUCCUUCACUGGGAUAUGUCUCAAAGGCCUCAAAGGUGGCUAAUACAAUGCCAAAUUUCAAGAAGUAUUUUUGGAAAAUCUGAAAAAAUGUUAAUCUAUUAUUCUUACAGCUAUGCCACACAAGUCAGGCAAUAUGUGGGAUAUAUUAGGGAAGAGCAAGCAUGAAUUUUCUAUAGGUUAGUUAUGCCUGAACAAACAUACUACAGUUCUUUGGUGAUAUUAGCAGUGAUGUGGAUAAUGGAGAGUUGGUUCAUAAAAUCUACCUGAAUCUCCAAAAGGCGUUUGGAAAUUCAACUUGUUGAAGGUUCUUCUGAGUGAAAAGUAAAUGGUCAUGAAGAAGGUACUUCCAAGGUAAACGCUUAGUCAAAAAAUGGAAAACGCAAGAUAUGGUACGUUGUUGGUAUUGACAAUGGAGUGAAGUGAGCAAUAGCUUACCUCAGGGAUCUGUGCUGUUAACUUAUCCAUGAAUUAUCUAGAAAUGGGAAUAGCUGAAGUGACAAAAUCUGAUGGGAAUCCUUUGAAGUUGAAAUUGUUCAAAGCUGAAAAAAAUGCACACUUACUGUGCAGCAGCAUUUCAUAAGAAAAUAGGCAAGUCCUGACUGUACUUGAUACACAAUAAAAAUAAUACGGAAUGUGAAGCUUAGGGUAGAUAAAUGUGAAGUAAUGGAACUAAGGGAAGUGAUCCUUAUUUUAUUUAUGUAACAAUGGUUUACCAGUACUAAUCUAGAGUGAGUUUUAGCCCCAAAUCCUGUGGAAAUCAUUGCCUCGGGUCUCAGUGCAGUCAACAAGGAAAGAAAAUGUUAAACACUGUUGGACAAUUAUACAGAACAAACCAGGAAAUUAUAGAGAACAAAUGAGAAAACAGCAUUUUCAUAGUAUAAUCUAAUGUUCAUCAAGCAAAAUCAAGGGGAAAAAAAGGUACUUCAACAUUUUCUUGUAAAGCAUUAAUAAUAAUAACAACAGCAAUACCUCUUUAAAGUUAGCUUCUUAUAUUAAGGCCAUCUGAAAGAUCACCAGUUCCUAAGGUGUUAUGAUAGGUGUUGAUAGUCUUCUCUAAUUAAAAUAAACACUUGUUUCCAGUCUUUAGAAAAUGAAUUUUGUAACUAAUAAUAAAUUCUCAAGUUGUUACCCAAUUAUACACAAAUGGAAAUUCAGUUUUGUCUCCUAAUUAGUUUUUUUAUUUUGUUUUUGUGGGGUUUUUUUCUUUGUAUGUAUGUGGUUUUCUCUUUUCCUCCCCCCUCUGCUACUUUUUCCUUCCUGAAUGCAACACAAUAAGAGAUGUAGCAACUGGAGCUUUGAAACUAUGACAUACAAAAUGAUUGCAAAUGCAUUAGCAUCAGAAAUUCUUUAAGACCAAUUAAUGGGAAAAUUCACUAAAAGCUGCAUUAUCUCUUUAAAAGAGCUUUACUCACUUAUGUCAUGCAGCUCAUAAAUAACAGAGAUCUGAAAGGAAAUCCCUUUGUAAAUUGUUCUUCAGACUUUAUAAGAGAAGAUGCCAGUCAUGAAGCUGUUUAAACAUAAGUUUAUGUUCUGAAUAAAAGCACGACAGAAUGAAU